GAAAUGCGAUACGUAGUGUGAAUUGCAGAAUUCAGUGAAUCAUCGAAUCUUUGAACGCACAUUGCGCCCUUUGGUAUUCCAAAGGGUAUGCCUGUUCGAGCGUCAUUUGUACCCUCAAGCUUUGCUUGGUGUUGGGCGUUUUUUGUCUUUGGCUCGCCCAAAGACUCGCCUUAAAACGAUUGGCAGCCGGCCUACUGGUUUCGCAGCGCAGCACAUUUUUGCGCUUGCAAUCAGCAAAAGAGGACGGCAAUCCAUCAAGACUCCUUCUCACGUUUGACCUCGGAUCAGGUAGGGAUACCCGCUGAACUUAAGC
rnacentral:misc_RNA from 1 species